rnacentral:rRNA from 1 species
UACGUAGGCAGCGAGCGUUGUUCGGAGUUACUGGGCGUAAAGGGUGUGUAGGCGGGUUGCUUAAGUUUGGUGUGAAAUCUCCCGCUCAACCGGGAGGGUGCGCCGAAUACUGAGUGACUAGAGUGCGGGAGAGGAAAGUGGAAUUCCUGGUGUAGCGGUGAAAUGCGUAGAUAUCAGGAGGAACACCGGUGGUGUAGACGGCUUUCUGGACCGUAACUGACGCUGAGACACGAAAGCGUGGGUAGCAAACAGG